rnacentral:tRNA from 1 species
GAGAGUUUAAUUAAAUAAUAAUAUUAAAAUGUCAUUUUAAAAUUGCUUAUUUUUAGGCAUCUUUCG